ACGGGUGAGUAACGCGUGGGAACGUACCUUUUGGUUCGGAACAACUGAGGGAAACUUCAGCUAAUACCGGAUAAGCCCUUACGGGGAAAGAUUUAUCGCCGAAAGAUCGGCCCGCGUCUGAUUAGCUAGUUGGUGAGGUAAGAGCUCACCAAGGCGACGAUCAGUAGCUGGUCUGAGAGGAUGAUCAGCCACACUGGGACUGAGACACGGCCCAGACUCCUACGGGAGGCAGCAGUGGGGAAUAUUGGACAAUGGGCGCAAGCCUGAUCCAGCCAUGCCGCGUGAGUGAUGAAGGCCCUAGGGUUGUAAAGCUCUUUUGUGCGGGAAGAUAAUGACGGUACCGCAAGAAUAAGCCCCGGCUAACUUCGUGCCAGCAGCCGCGGUAAUACGAAGGGGGCUAGCGUUGCUCGGAAUCACUGGGCGUAAAGGGUGCGUAGGCGGGUCUUUAAGUCAGGGGUGAAAUCCUGGAGCUCAACUCCAGAACUGCCUUUGAUACUGAGGAUCUUGAGUUCGGGAGAGGUGAGUGGAACUGCGAGU
rnacentral:rRNA from 1 species